CCUUAACCGACGCUAAAGCUCGAAAGUGCGGGUAUCGAACAGGAUUAGAUACCCUGGUAGUCCGCACGGUAAACGAUGGAUGCCCGCUGUUGGCGAUAUAUUGUCAGCGGCCAAGCGAAAGCGUUAAGCAUCCCACCUGGGGAGUACGCCGGCAACGGUGAAACUCAAAGGAAUUGACGGGGGCCCGCACAAGCGGAGGAACAUGUGGUUUAAUUCGAUGAUACGCGAGGAACCUUACCCGGGCUUGAACUGCAGCGGAAGGAUACAGAGAUGUUGACGUCCUUCGGGACCGCUGUGGAGGUGCUGCAUGGUUGUCGUCAGCUCGUGCCGUGAGGUGUCGGCUUAAGUGCCAUAACGAGCGCAACCCUUCUCAUUAGUUGCCAUCAGGUUAAGCUGGGCACUCUGAUGAUACUGCCACCGUAAGGUGUGAGGAAGGUGGGGAUGACGUCAAAUCAGCACGGCCCUUACGUCCGGGGCUACACACGUGUUACAAUGGGUGGUACAGAGAGUUGGUCUGACGCAAGUCCGAUCUAAUCAUGAAAGCCAUCCUCAGUUCGGAUUGGGGUCUGCAACCCGACCCCAUGAAGCUGGAUUCGCUAG
rnacentral:rRNA from 1 species